UACGUAGGGUGCGAGCGUUGUCCGGAAUUACUGGGCGUAAAGAGCUCGUAGGUGGUUUGUCGCGUUGUCCGUGAAAACUCACAGCUUAACUGUGGGCGUGCGGGCGAUACGGGCAGACUGGAGUACUGCAGGGGAGACUGGAAUUCCCGGUGUAGCGGUGGAAUGCGCAGAUAUCAGGAGGAACACCGGUGGCGAAGGCGGGUCUCUGGGCAGUAACUGACGCUGAGGAGCGAAAGCGUGGGGAGCGAACAGG
rnacentral:rRNA from 1 species